AGCAGCAGCAGAAGAGCUUGUCACACUGAGUGAAGAUUUCCUCUUCAGCAUGCUGAACUACCCACCUCUGAUUGACCCUCACUGUCCAAUAUCCACUAUCCAACACAGGCUUGCUUCUGCCUCUGAGAGAAACUACAUAAGUCACCAGCUGUUGCUCCGUACUCCUGUGUGUGCACAUGCCUGGAAUAGCUCAUUCCACCACCACUCCUGCCCUGACCCCAGACUUUGCUGUCUUCAUGUACUUUGGGCCUGUUUUAAAGAAUUUGUGUGAAAUAAGAGAACACAGACAUUAAG